rnacentral:rRNA from 1 species
CCUACGGGGGGCAGCAGUAGGGAAUCUUCCACAAUGGGCGAAAGCCUGAUGGAGCAACGCCGCGUGGGUGAAGAAGGUCUUCGGAUCGUAAAACCCUGUUGUUAGAGAAGAAAGUGCGUGAGAGUAACUGUUCACGUUUCGACGGUAUCUAACCAGAAAGCCACGGCUAACUACGUGCAAGCAGCCGCGGUAAUACGGAGGUGGCAAGCGUUAUCCGGAUUUAUUGGGCGUAAGGGGAACGCAGGCGGUCUGUUAAGUCUGAUGUGAAAGCCUUCGGCUUAACCGGAGUAGUGCAUUGGAAACGGGGAGAUUUGAGUGCAGAAGAGGAGAGUGGAAUUCGAGGUGUAGCGGUGAAAUGCGUAGAUAUAUGGAAGAACACCAGGGGCGAAGGCGGCGCUCUGGUCUGUAACGGACGCUGAGGUUCGAAAGCGUGGGUAGCAAACAGGAUUAGAUACCCGGGUAGUC